AUCUUUCACUGCCUCAGUCUGGCCAGUUAUCUACUCCCUCUCAUUUUCAGUUCUUUCAAGUAUGCGCCGCUGCGGGUCAGGGCGAAGUAAGCCGAGUUUUGAGACGUUUUGCCUUUUCGGGAUCUACAUUAUGCCAGAUACCAAGAGGCUUUAAGAAAGAGGUGCUCCUAACUACUGGAGAAGAAGAUGAAACAUAAACACUUUCACAGUAACCUUAACGCGGGAUGAAGACGGGACAGGAGCAGACGGGGACACACAUGGAAAGCUGAAGUCUAUUAGGUAGGACGGCGCAAAUCAGAGCGGGGAGCACCCCGCAAGAAAUUGACAUCAUGCUGUCAUCCUCUCAGACACGCGCCGUGCCCCGAGAAGUGCGCAGGGCGACGCAUGCAGAGACGUGGGGCAGACGGAGCGAGGAAAGCAAUCCUUCCUGAGAAAGGCAUUCCUUUUUUUCCCCUGCUGUAUCAUCAUUCACAUCUUCAUUCUCGUCAUCAUUAUUACAAUUCUUUGUCCAAGAGUGCUGUGAGAUGCAGGCUUUUUUAAACCUGCCUGACUCUAGCUGGAGCCUCACGAAGCCGGCGGUUACACCCGGGAGGGGCAGGUCGUGGGUGCAGAAGGAUCUAAGGUCAUGGGACCCAGAGGCGGUGCUUCUCAUCCUGACCCGGGUCUUGGGGAAGGCAUCCUGGAGGAGGUGGUCCCCGAGUUGAUUCUUACAGGUGGUUUCUUAGGGUGGUGGCCCCGUCUUUUUGUGUCUGUGUAGACACCUGCUGACAUAGUGGGCGCUUGGUAAAGAUUUGCAGGAAGAACAAGUGAAGGUUCACUCUUUUGCGACUUGAUUGCCUCGGGGAGAACACUUGGGUUAUGCGUUUGCCAUACAUAAACAAAUACACACAGGAAUUAAAAUGGUGAAAAAUGAAACAGGAAAUCGACAAGAGAUUUCUGGAGUGUGUGCAUUGGAGUGAGACAAGGACCCUCUUCUGACUGCUGGCCUGGCGUGCCUCAUCAAAAUGAUAGACUUCUUAUGGUAAGGAUGUCCAAGGCCAAGGUGUAGGAAAUAAGAGGGAGCAGUGCACAUGUUGAGCUGAAUUGAUUUCAAUGGCCUCGCCAGCGUGUCCUGAAUUCCCUGUUUAUUUUGGGAAGUGACUUCACCAUGCAUGGGGCUAAGACUUCAUCCGCCAUGGGCUCCGGUUCUAUAGUCACAAAAGAGGUGGAUUAAGCCAAAGAAGAGAGGACCAGUACAAAGAGAUAGAGCGUCUAUCAGAUUUCUCCCUCAUUCUCUUUCCCCCUUCUCUACAACUGUUUCUGGUUAUAUUUAUCUCUAUGAUUAUUUUCAGCAUUUUAUUUUAUUUCAUUUUUGUUUUUAGCAUUUUAAAAAGAGAGACCCCCAGUUUUAUUUUGGAAUAGAAAAGACCAGUGUUUUUCUGUGUUGCUCAUUGGGUGAAGGUGCGGGGCGGAGAUGGGCGGACUUAAUAUGCUCAUUAUCAAGCCUGUGGCUUCA